GCGGGCCUCCUGCUCCUUCACUGAGGCCAGGAUGCUGGCGGCCGAGUGCAUGUUGCAGUCCUCCAUGACCAGAAUGCUCGCUGGCUGCAGUUCUCUCAGCAGGAGCUAAAUAACUGUGCGUCCCCAAGGAGACACCCUCGCACGACAGCCAGCCCAGGGGUGGAGAACCCCACAGCGCCCACAGGAGAGCAGAGGCCCUGAGUCUGGUGCCCAUGCCCUCUGUCCCAGCCUGAGGGUGCACCCCUCUGUCUGCCUGUGGGUUGGGGUGCCGAGCCCUUCUGGCUGCAGCCUUGUCACUUUGGCGGCCUCGAGGCCAGCCGCGGGGUGCAUGGGAGGCCGGCUGCUGGCCAGGGGCAUCUAGGAGGCAGGGAAUACCCGGACCCACUCCCCUGACAUGGUGGCCCCUCCAGUCCAAGGUGCAGGGCCCAUGUACAGUAGCAUGUGCAGGCGUAGGCGCCCCAGGCCAGCACCCCAGAGAGCAGCUUUUCUGAUGGCAACUCAAAAUGCUAUUUUUAUAUUAAAACAAUAAAUAUGUGAUGACAUGGAA